rnacentral:rRNA from 1 species
UUGAUCCUACGGGACGCAGCAGUGAGGAAUAUUGGUCAAUGGGCGGGAGCCUGAACCAGCCAAGUCGCGUGAGGGAAGACGGUCCUAUGGAUUGUAAACCUCUUUUGUCGGGGAGCAAAGAGGCCUCGUGAGGUCAAAAGCGAGAGUACCCGAAGAAAAAGCAUCGGCUAACUCCGUGCCAGCAGCCGCGGUAAUACGGAGGAUGCGAGCGUUAUCCGGACUUAUUGGGUUUAAAGGGUGCGUAGGCGGGACGGUAAGUCAGCGGUAAAAAUGCGGAGCUCAACUCCGUCGAGCCGUUGAAACUG